rnacentral:rRNA from 1 species
UACGUAGGAGGCAAGCGUUGUCCGGAAUUACUGGGCGUAAAGCGCGUGUAGGUGGUGGGACAAGUCUGCUGUGAAAGCGCCUGGCUUAACCGGGCGAGGUCGGCGGAAACUGUUCGACUCGAGGACGGUAGAGGGGGGUGGAAUUCCCGGUGUAGUGGUGAAAUGCGUAGAGAUCGGGAGGAACACCUGUGGCGAAGGCGGCCCCAUGGGCCGGCCCUGACACUGAGACGCGAAGGCGUGGGGAGCGAACGGG